GACGAACGCUGGCGGCGUGCUUAACACAUGCAAGUCGAACGGAAAGGCCCUGCUUUUGUGGGGUGCUCGAGUGGCGAACGGGUGAGUAACACGUGAGUAACCUGCCCUUGACUUUGGGAUAACUUCAGGAAACUGGGGCUAAUACCGGAUAGGAGCUCCUGCUGCAUGGUGGGGGUGGGAAAGUUUCGGCGGUUGGGGAGGGACUCGCGGCUUAUCAGCUUGUUGGUGGGGUAGUGGCUUACCAAGGCUUUGACGGGUAGCCGGCCUGAGAGGGUGACCGGCCACAUUGGGACUGAGAUACGGCCCAGACUCCUACGGGAGGCAGCAGUGGGGAAUAUUGCACCAUGGGCGGCAGCCUGAUGCAGCAACGCCGCGUGCGGGAUGACGGCCUUCGGGUUGUAAACCGCUUUCGCCUGUGACGAAGCGUGAGUGACGGUAAUGGGUAAAGAAGCACCGGCUAACUACGUG
rnacentral:rRNA from 1 species